rnacentral:rRNA from 1 species
GUGUCAGCCGCCGCGGUAAGACGGAGGAGGCAAGCGUUGUCCGGAAUCAUUGGGCGUAAAGAGCGCGUAGGCGGUUUUUCAAGUCGUAUGUGAAAACUUCAGGCUUAACCUGAUGAUUGCAUAUGAAACUGGAUAACUUGAGUACAGCAGAGGAAAGUGGAAUUCCUGGUGUAGCGGUGAAAUGUGCAGAUAUCAGGAAGAACACCAGUAGCGAAGGCGGCUUUCUGGGCUGUUACUGACGCUGAGGCGCGAAAGCUAGGGGAGCGAACAGGAUUAGAUACCCUGGUAGUCCUAGCCGUAAACGAUGGACACUAGGCGUGGGAAGUUAUCGACGCUUUCUGUGCCGAAGCUAACGCAUUAAGUGUCCCGCCUGGGGAGUACGGCCGCAAGGCUAAAACUUAAAUGAAUUGGCGGGG